UCCUGAUUUAGCUGGUUAAAACAUGGUGCUAGCAACACCAAGGUUGUGGGCUCAAUCCCCAUAUGGAC